rnacentral:rRNA from 1 species
UACGUAGGGUGCAAGCGUUAUCCGGAAUUAUUGGGCGUAAAGAGCUCGUAGGCGGUUUGUCGCGUCUGCUGUGAAAGCCCAUGGCUUAACUGUGGGUUGGCGGCUGAUACGGGCAGGCUAGAGUUCGGUAGGGGAGACUGGAAUUCCUGGUGUAGCGGUGAAAUGCGCAGAUAUCAGGAGGAACACCGGUGGCGAAGGCGGGUCUCUGGGCCGAUACUGACGCUGAGGAGCGAAAGCGUGGGGAGCGAACAGG